rnacentral:rRNA from 1 species
UACGGGGGGGAGCAAGCGUUGUUCGGAUUUACUGGCGUAAAGGGCGCGUAGGCGGCCAGCGCAAGUCAGUUGUGAAAUCUCCGGGCUUAACUCGGAAAGGUCAACUGAUACUGCGCGGCUAGAGUGCAGAAGGGGCAACUGGAAUUCUCGGUGUAGCGGUGAAAUGCGUAGAUAUCGAGAGGAACACCUGCGGCGAAGGCGGGUUGCCUGGGC